CUAAUCCCCUCCCCCCUGAGAAACCGCCAUCAUGAAAUCGAAAACAACAAGCUAACAGAUAAGACGCAGUUCUCAGGUUCACUACAAGGACAGACUGAUACACAGACGGACUGAGGCAGUGCACAUAUAAGCAAUAUGGCAGAGGAAGCAAUGGACAGCUCUGCAGUGUCAGAGGAGGAAGUGGAAGACCAGAUGAGUCCGAAAAGCCGCAACAAAAUACCUGUUGUAGGUGAAAUCCUGGAAGGCAAACGGACGAAGAAGACAAUCGAGAGGCUCGAUUUCCAGGCGCCCAAACAAAUGGACAAGAUUAAGAUUGGAGAAGGCAGCGGAGAUAAAUUAAAAGACAUUCCACGCACCAGCUCCCAGAUCACCAAGAUGAAACCAGCUGACCUGAAACCUCUGCACAUCAUCCUGUUCGACAGACCAGGAAAGAUGGCCACGAUAAAGAAGAACCUGCGUCUGUUCAACGGAUUUCCUUUUGAUGCCGCCAGUGAACAGUACAGAAAGAAACGAGAGAAACUCCUCAAAAGUUCAAAUUUCACCAACGCUAAGCUGAAGGUGGUCUGUGGCGUUUUGGACCUGGAGAAGAAAGGAACUCACUUAGACCUGGUCAACAGGAUCAUGCGUUUCCUCAUCGCACCAAAGAACAGCGGGAAGCGUGUCCCCACGAAGAAGAAGAGGAAAUCGAAGAAGAAACUGUCCGGCGACGACUCAGAUACAAAGACCAAGAAGAAGAGGGAAUCCAAACCCAGGAGCUCGUCGUCAAGUCCCAAAAAGUCCAAAACAGGAAGCAAGUCCAAAGCCAUUGUCAUGGACUCCAGCAGCGACGAGGAUGAGGACGAGGACGAUGAUGAGGAAGAUGAGAAGGCGGGGACUUCAGCGGAGGCAGAGGGGUCGGACACAGAGGAGAAGCCUUCAGAAAAGGAGGAGGACGAGUCUGACGGGUCAGAGCAGUCUACAGACGAGGAGGAGGACAAAGAAGAAGAUGAUGACGAAGAAGAUGAAGAUGAGUCUCCGAAAUCCAAGUCGGGCCGAGGGAAGUCUGCGCCCAGGAAAACAGCACGGGUGAAAAGACAAAGGACACCAGUGAAGAAGACGGCUACUCCGAAGAAGAGAGCGAAGAAAGAUGUUUCAGACAAGUCGGAGUCCGACGUCGACAGUGACGUCGACGAGAAGCCCAAGAAGAUGAAAUCGGCUCCUUCCAAACCGGCUGCCAAAACAAAGAAGGCUGACAGCAGCAGCAACAGCAAGAACAACACAAACACAGCUGAGGACAGUGCGGACGACGACGAGCCGCUCAUCAAGAUGAUUAAGAAAGCGCCGACUGACGAGAAGCUGAAGGAGACGGUGCAGAGUCUGCUGAAGGAGGCGAACCUGGAGGAGAUGACCAUGAAACAGAUCUGCCAGAGGGUGAAAACCCUGUUUUAAACAGUGUAUGACACUUUCCCAGGCCACGACCUGACCAGCAAGAAGGACUUCAUCAAACAAACGGUCAAAUCUCUCAUCACUUGAAGAUCUGAAGAUUAAAGUUGAUGUCGCUGUGAAACUUGACGAAGGGAAAAAAACUUCAGCAGAAACGACUGAAAAGUUCCUUUUUCAUUAGUUUCAUAUCACCAUGGUUUGCUUUCAUACAAAGCCGUUUUAUACGUAAUUGUUUUGUUUUUUUAUUAAUGUGUGUAUAGAUUAAUUCAACAGUGUUCAUCAUCAUCAUGAACUUUUUUAUGCGCUCAGACACAUUUUGUGUCUCCGUUAAAGUUCAAAGCAAAGAAGCGAAAAAUAAAAAAAAAUAUAUUAAGAAAAGAACAUUUUCAAAAUGAAUGGAAAACAUUUCUUAUACUCAAAUUGAUUUAUUUAAGAAAUUUUGUUCAUUGGAAAAUCUUCAAAGAAAAUGUAACGUUGCAGAAAAUAAACAGAAGAGAAGAGGUUUGGACAACAGAAGAAUUUGCUUUUACUUUUUAUUUAAAACACAGUUGACUCUGAUCUUUGCUUUUGACUAACAGGAUGUCACAUUUUGUAUUUCUGGAUUAAAUUGUGUUUCUGAUUAGGUGAAGCUGUUUUAGAUUAGUACAUAUUUUAACUCCUUUUGUUUGUUGUAGGUUUUUUUCUGUAUUUUUGUUUUUGUUUUUUCUCUGUCAAACAAUUGACAUUUUCAAAUCCUCAAAUUAACUGUGCUGAGUAAUUUACUUAUUGAUUAAAAUUUUACCUUUUUGAACAAAA